rnacentral:misc_RNA from 1 species
UGAGAAAUGAAAUAAUAAUUUUCUAUGUUCUAUCAUUUAUGUAAUUUAAUUUUCAUAAUUAAUGUUGAAAAGAUAAUUAUUACAAAUAUAAAUUAAACAUAAAAACUUAAAAAUGCAUGAAACACUAUUUGAUUAUAAUAAUCAUCGUGGUCCAUUGUGCACCAGUGUUACGUGUUCAUAUUAAAUAUUUAUAUUGUGAAAGAUUAUAAAAAUUUUCGAAACGCCCUCUUAUAAAUGUUUAUUUGCAGGAAGUCCCGAAAAACUACUAUUAUUAUUUUUAUUGACCAUAGGGAAGCCAAGAGUUUCCGGAUUCAAUUCAUCUACCUCAAAAUCAAUCAAUUUUUUCUAAUUUCGCUUCAAUCCUGAUAUAUCGUAUAUAUUGACCAUAACAAAAACUUGUAAUCUAUCUCACACAAUAGUAUAUUAUUAUUUUUAUUAAAAAA